rnacentral:rRNA from 1 species
CUACGGGGGGCUCCAGUAGGGAAUUUUCGGCAAUGGAGGAAACUCUGACCGAGCAACGCCGCGUGAAUGAAGACAUAUUUCGGUAUGUAAAGUUCUUUUAUUAGGGAAGAAUAGCCCAUGGAAAAAUGGGUGCGACGGUACCUAAUGAAUAAGCCCCGGCUAACUAUGUGCCAGCAGCCGCGGUAAUACAUAGGGGGCAAGCGUUAUCCGGAAUUAUUGGGCGUAAAGGGUGCGUAGGCGGCCAUUUAAGUCUUUGGUAUAAGUGCAGUGCUUAACGCUGUGAUGCUAAGGAAACUGAAUGGCUUGAGUGAGAUAGAGGCAAGUGGAAUUCCAUGUGUAGCGGUAAAAUGCGUAAAUAUAUGGAGGAACACCAGUGGCGAAGGCGGCUUGCUGGGUCUACACUGACGCUGAGGCACGAAAGCGUGGGGAGCAAACAGGAUUAGAUACCCUAGUAGUC